CCUACCAUGCAAGUCGAACGGCAGCACAGGAGAGCUUGCUCUCUGGGUGGCGAGUGGCGGACGGGUGAGGAAUGCAUCGGAAUCUACUCUUUCGUGGGGGAUAACGUAGGGAAACUUACGCUAAUACCGCAUACGACCUACGGGUGAAAGCCGGGGACCUUCGGGCCUGGCGCGAAUGAAUGAGCCGAUGCCCGAUUAGCUAGUUGGCGGGGUAAGAGCCCACCAAGGCGACGAUCGGUAGCUGGUCUGAGAGGAUGAUCAGCCACACUGGAACUGAGACACGGUCCAGACUCCUACGGGAGGCAGCAGUGGGGAAUAUUGGACAAUGGGCGCAAGCCUGAUCCAGCCAUACCGCGUGGGUGAAGAAGGCCUUCGGGUUGUAAAGCCCUUUUGUUGGGAAAGAAAAGCAAUCGGUUAAUACCCGGUUGUUCUGACGGUACCCAAAGAAUAAGCACCGGCUAACUUCGUGCCAGCAGCCGCGGUAAUACGAAGGGUGCAAGCGUUACUCGGAAUUACUGGGCGUAAAGCGUGCGUAGGUGGUUGUUUAAGUCUGUCGUGAAAGCCCUGGGCUCAACCUGGGAAUUGCGAUGGAAACUGGGCGACUAGAGUGUGGCAGAGGGUAGUGGAAUUCCUGGUGUAGCAGUGAAAUGCGUAGAGAUCAGGAGGAACAUCCGUGGCGAAGGCGACUGCCUGGGCCAACACUGACACUGAGGCACGAAAGCGUGGGGAGCAAACAGGAUUAGAUACCCUGGUAGUCCACGCCCUAAACGAUGCGAACUGGAAUGUUGGGUGCAAUUUGGCACGCAGUAUCGAAGCUAACGCGUUAAGUUCGCCGCCUGGGGGAGUACGGUCGCAAGACUGAAACUCAAAGGAAUUGACGGGGGCCGCACAGCGGUGGAAUAUUUGUGGUUUAAUUCGAUGCAACGCGAAGAACCUUACCUGGCCUUGACAUGUCGCGAACUUUCAGAAAAAUGGAUUGGUGCCUUCGGGAACGCGAACACAGGUGCUGCAUGGCUGUCGUCAGCUCGUGUCGUGGGAAAGGUUGGGGUUAAGUCCCCCCACCGAGCGCAACCCUUGUCCUUAGUUGCAGCAACGUAAUGGGUGGGGAACUCUUAAGGAG
rnacentral:rRNA from 1 species